rnacentral:rRNA from 1 species
UACGAAGGGGCUAGCGUUGCUCGGAAUCACUGGGCGUAAAGGGUGCGUAGGCGGGUCUUUAAGUCAGGGGUGAAAUCCUGGAGCUCAACUCCAGAACUGCCUUUGAUACUGAGGAUCUUGAGUUCGGGAGAGGUGAGUGGAACUGCGAGUGUAGAGGUGAAAUUCGUAGAUAUUCGCAAGAACACCAGUGGCGAAGGCGGCUCACUGGCCCGGUACUGACGCUGAGGUGCGAAAGCGUGGGGAGCAAACAGGG